rnacentral:lncRNA from 1 species
UCCUACUCCAUGUCUCCAUCAGGAUGGACAAGAGCAAGUUAGUUGAAUGGCAUGCACAUGAUAAAAGUGCAAGGCAUAUAUAUUUAUCUACAUAAACUGCAUGUGAACAUGUGUGGUGAAUUGAUGACUGAAAUUUGUAAUGUACUAAUAAGUGUUUAUGCACCGAUAUGUACACCUAAACACUUCACCAUAUAUUUCCUUCCAAACAUUAUAAGGCAAAUAUAGAUAGUGGUACUACACAUGUUGAAGGUAAACCGUAUUGACUUGAAAGCAAUAAAUUGACUAUAUAUGUUUGCCAACAUAAAAUUCUACUCUCAACUUUUCACGCACAUUAUAUGUUCCGAGAUACGGAAUGCAAUUGGUUUGCAGAAGAAAGAGAUUAUUUCCUAUUAAAUGCACACCUUACAAUUAAAUAAAAUCAUUGUUGAGCAACAAAUAAAAAUAGUAUCUCCUGAGUUGUGACAAUCCUAGAUUGAUAUUAUAGCUUUUCAACUCAUGUUAAAUAAACAUAGCAGAUUACAACACUUGGAAAGGAUAGAGAUUUAUAUGUAUAAAUAGAUAGGAGUAGAGAAAGAAGCACUUCUGAGUGGUACACUCAUUGCUUGUAUACUUUUAUCUGAUGGGUUGUGCAGCAAGAUCAACCAUUUUCUUCAGACUCCUCCAAAUAGAGUAUGCAACACCUCCUACUAAAUGUAAUGUAAAAAUGAGAUGCAACUAAAGAGAAGAUACACAAGUAAUGUAAGCAAUUUAAAAACAAAAUUAGCACAUGUGUGCGGCCAUCAAAAGCACAUUCAAAUAUGUACAGUCUGGUAAUAUAUAACACAACUCAUUCACAUUGAUUUGUACGGCUUCGGUACAGCCGUGUCAUUGAAUAUCAAGGAAAUAGUAAACUAUUGCACAAAGAGAUGAUGCACUACAUAUCAUGUUUGUAAACAAGUUCACUCUUCCAGAUUCUCAAGUCCUAUGCAUGAGAUAACAUGGCAAAGAAGCAACAGGAACAUUCAUUGUGGACCAUGAGAAACAGCAGUAUAAAAAAGAGUUCACUUUUUUUUUGCUUACAGUAUAGGAUAAAUUUAAUAGCUUGUUCAAUGGCACCAACCUAAAAGUGCUACCAAAUCUGUGGUGAAAUGAAUAGUAAAAGGAACGCUUCCUUAGAAAGAAAGUCACCAAUUUUUAUCUAUUGUAAAGAGAAAAGAGGAACGCUUUCUUAGAAAAAUGAGCACACACAAAAACAAGCUUUGCACAACCAACUCUUGGUGCCCCUAGAGCGUAACAAGUUCGUUGGGCCUGUAAUGACCAUGAUUUCCAUCGUGUUUUUUCUCUUCUGUAGAUAUGCUCUCCUGUAUUAAUAUUGAAAGAACGAAGUAAGUUUCUCACUAAUAAUCACAAGACAAAGAUGCUGGGAAACUAACCCUUACUGCUACAGGAUAAAAAAUAAUACUCCCUGUGUAAAGAAAUAUAAGGACGUUUAGAUAACUAGAGGGAGUAGUUUCUAACAUAAAUAUUAGUGUCAACUGAACUCUCAUAAGUAAGACACCUCCUUGGUAAGCUCAAUUACCACAAAUUGAAUGUUAAUUCUGUAUAGGAUUACACUAAAGAAAAACAUGAAAUCAUUUAUAAGUUGACUAUUUGUGGGGCCUCAUUGGGGUUUUAUAUUUUGAAGGGACAUACACACAGGAUAGUAGUUCCAUCGUGAUGAGUACUUUUCUACUAACAACCAUCACCACAAAUAGCAUACCCAAGACUGGACCUGGAGCAUUUGGUACAUAUCACUCAUAUCUAGCAAAGGCAGCUAUAGGUGUUAUAUAACAACCUACAAGCUCAACAAUUAAGACAUGUUUGUAUCUUGCAAAAGAAACAUGUGACGUUUUAUCAAUCAAGAUAAAAUUAAGCGAUCCAAGUAAACAUGCUCAAACAAUAAUUAUCUGGAAAAAAACUAUUUUCCCUGCUACAUGUAAAUCCAAUACCCAUUCAAUACUUGGCAUCACUAAACGAGAAAUCUAAAUGACAAAAAUAGUAAUCUCUGCUCCUACUUGAAUGAGCUCAACAAAUAUGACACCAUGCACUCCACAUCAUAAACACUAGAAAUCACCAUGGCUAGCACAUAAUUUCUCUAGCAAUAGGGCUCCAUGGUCGUGGACUCGCGCAGAACACGAGCGUUAGCAUGAGCGAAGCAGAGUAGAGGGGCAGUUGGUUGCUUACCAGAUAUGCCGGAGAGGAAGAAGAACGACCGGAUUCAUCAAAGUGGAAGAAGAAUCACAAGGUGGUUGUGUCCUGCACCGCCACCUGCGCACAUCAGAAAGUGCAUCAGGGAACCAAGCCAUGAUCGUGCAUCAGGGAACCAAGCCAUGAUCGCUUAUGCAUCAGGGCUACCAAAUCGAACAAAACAGGGGAGGGGG